GAUGAAGAACGUAGCGAAAUGCGAUAAGUAAUGUGAAUUGCAGAAUUCAGUGAAUCAUCGAAUCUUUGAACGCACAUUGCGCCCGCCAGUAUUCUGGCGGGCAUGCCUGUUCGAGCGUCAUUUCAACCAUCAAGCCCCUGGCUUGUGUUGGGGACCUGCGGCUGCCGCAGGCCCUGAAAACCAGUGGCGGGCUCGCUGUCACACCGGGCGUAGUAGAUUUUAUCUCGCUCAGGGCGUGCUGCGGGUCCCGGCCGUUAAAAGCCUUUUUUUACCCAAGGUUGACCUCGGAUCAGGUAGGAAGACCCGCUGAACUUAAGCAUAUCAAUAAGCGGAGGA
rnacentral:misc_RNA from 1 species